UUCCUUCCUGGCUGCUGGGCCUGGUGGUUUCUUGGUGGAUUCUUCACCACUGGACCACCAGAGAAGUCCCUGGCUGUCUUUUCUCAGUGGGAAAGAGGACCCGCAGAGAAGGUCAUCUUCCAGGACUUGAGGGGGUCCCCGGAGGCCUGACCCACCCCCAGGAUCUGCGGAGAGGAGGCAACGCAAGCUAUAAAGAGCGGUUCGUUCCUUCCCUGUGUCCACAAAAGCAUCAUCCCAUCACACAGAUGAGGAAGCCGAGACUCACUGGCUCAUUGAACCCACAGGAGUGCCCUGAGCACCUACUGUGCUCACAGCCUAGUGGGAAAGGCAGGGAGAAUACAGCUCACGCUGACCUGGCGCCUCAGUGACCGAAAUGGGAAGGAAAUCCAAGGAAGAGGGGAUGUAGGCACACGUGUGGCUGGCUCACUUUGCUGGACAGCGGAAACUAACACACAUAGUAAAGCAGCUAUACUGCAAAAAAAAGGAAAGAAAACUUCUCGCCCAGCCCUCUGAAAGGCUCCCAGAGAGCGUUCCGACUCCCCUGUUUGUUGCUGGGGGGGACUGUUCCCUUUCUGCCAAAGGAGAAAGCCAGGCCAGAGUGGGCCAUCCCGUGCAGAGCCACCAGCUUCCCAGGGUGGGGCAGGCUUCCUGCCUUUGCCGGGCUGCUGCCCCUGCUGGGGAGAGAAUCGGCUUCCUCGCGGUCGCGGGGAUCCGGCUCCGUGCUCAGGGCGUCACUUCCUCAGGGACCCUUCCGGGCUGGGAGGGCCGGUCCGCACCCCAGGGCUUCCUCUUGUUUACCGCGCGUGCCUCUCGCUCCCCGGCUCUCCCGCCGAAUGAGCAGUAGUGGCGGUGUUUCCCCAGGGAGCCGCCACAGGUCCCCUCCCCAGGGGCCUCUCCCAGCCCCGGGGGUCCGGCCACCUGCAGCAAGUGUGUGGCUGCUUCCCCAGCUGCUGUUUGCAGGAUCACCGCGUGGAUGACCGGCAUCCUCUCUACAACGUCGGCUCCGCGAGGAUGGGCAUCUUGGCCUGUUCCCUUUGCCAGUGGGUCCCGGUUGCCCGGCACAUAGAUGUGGGGUCUUAACUCCCCGACCAGGAACUCCCCUGCAUUGGAAACACCGAGUCUUCUCCCUGACCAGGAACUCCCCUGCAUUGGAAACACUGAGUCUUAACUACUGGACCACCAGGGAAGUCCCUCAAAUAUUUUGCGCACCUACUAAUGCUCCAGUCUGCAGGGAUAUGGAAACGAAGAAAACAGGCAAAAAUCUCUGUAGAUAUUCUGUUAGUAGAGAUAGCCAUCAGAGACAGUAUGAGUCAAGCUGAUACUCAGGGCCCAGGUUGUUGGGGGGGUUGGUCAGGGGAGGCCCUGCCUGCCUCAGUCUGGGCACUUGGGGAAGGCUGUGCAUUCAGACCAGAAGGAUGUGGAGAAAGGGAGCCAGGUGAAGAGUGGGGGGUGUCCCAGCGGCCAGGACUGGCCCCUGCAGGAGGUGGGGGAGUGGGCAUGGCAAUUCGGGGACCCACCUCUGGCUUGGCCUGGAUGGGGGGAGGAGAGAGAGGGCGGGGGGUGCUGAAAAGGCCGGACCUGACUUAGGUUUUACCAUCACUCCGGCCGCAGCGUGCAGCCGAGACUGGGGGAGCAUGGUGGCUGGAGGCAGGCAGACCGGAGGGGAGCCUGGAGUCCUGUCCACCCGUCAGAAAACAGGAGGGAGGGAGGUCAAGUAACCCUGGAAACAGGGUGUCCUGAUCUUCCCUGGAAACAGGCCCAGGAUGUGGCAGCUGAGACUUCCUCCCUCCUUCCGGGGAACUGGAUCAGGCAUCAGCAGCACCUCCAAUACCAUCCUCCAGCAUCACCUCCAGCAUCACCUCCAGCGUCACCUCCAGCGUCACCUCCCAGCAUCACCUCCAGCAUCACCUCCCAGCAUCACCUCCCAGCAUCACCUCCAGCAUCACCUCCAGCAUCAUCCUCCAGCAUCACCUCCAACACCAUCCUCCAGCAUCACCACCAUCACCUCCAGCAUCACCUCCAAGACAACACUUGGGCAGUGGCUGUCAGCCCUUGCACUGCUCACCCCAUGUCUGGCCAGGCACUUCUGAGAUGGAACUGCCCCGCGGCUCCACAUGGUGUGACGUCCCACGAGGGUGUUCACAGCACAUUCAGCACCAGCCCAAGAUGGAGAUAGCCCAGUGGUACAUCACCCGUCACCCAUCAAAACCACCCCAUCUACCCAGAAAGCAGAGGGAGGGGCCGGAUGGUGAAGAGUUUUGGAGCACAGACCUGGGAGCCCGCCUGCCUGGGUCUGAAUCCCACCUCUGCCAGGCAUAGCUGUGUGGCACUGGGCAGGUGCCUAGAUACUCUGUGCCUCAGUUUCCCCAUCUACAAAAUGGGGAUUAGGACUUCUAAUAGGAUCACUUCACUCUUCUGAUGCAUUCAUUGAUCCAUGUAAAGCAUCUGGAACCAUGCCCAGCACACAGUAAAUCCUCUGGAAACUUUGCUGCCAUUAUUAUUAUUGUGAACAUUAUGGUUAUUAUUCCUCGGCAAAGUGAAAGUCACUUAGUCGUGUCCAACUCUUUGUGACACCAUGGACUAUAGCCCGCCAGGCUCCUCUGUUCAUGGAAUUCUCCAGGUCAGAAUACUGGAGUGGGUAGCCAUGCCCUCCUCCAGGGGAUCUUCCCAACCCAGGGAUCGAAGCUGGGUCUCCCGCAUUGCAGACAGAUUGUUUACCUCCUCGUGGUAGAAAUACGGACUAAUCCAAAGGAGAAGAGGCAGGACCAAAUGUAAAGUGGGCUGCCAGUUGUAGAAAAAGGCAAGAAUAACUAGAUUGUGUGUGUAGAUGCUCGCAGCCUCUCAGAAGGAAAUCUGAGUCAUUGAAAGCCCUGGAUUCGGUGCAGGGAGUGUGGACUUGCGGGGAGCGGAGAGCCACGCUGACUUUUCACUCUAUACUUUUACACCCUCUGUGCUGAGUUCCGUGUGUGUUUCCUCUGUGUGCUUGUAUGUAUAUUCAAAACCAAACAUGCCAGAAAGCAAUUCUGCUUGAGGUUCCCUCCAGGAAGGCCCCGGCGUUCCCCACCCCCACCCUCUCCACCCACCCCUGCGUCCUGGCCUGUGUGUGUGGCCCAGUCUCGCCUGGUUUUCAGAGCUCUAGGCCUUGGAGCAGGUCUGAACUGGAGUGCCCUGCAAGAAACGGGGCUCCUCAGAGACCCCCAGAGCGGCCUUGGCUCCGGGUGGUGCAGGGUGUGGGGGCUGGAGGGGGUGGUCCCGACCCGCUGAUGAGAACUCCAAACGCUCCCAGCCCCGGGGCUGCUAAUCGCUUCCAGAUUGGCCAGGUCAGGGCCAGGGCCCCCGCCGCCCGGCUCCAUAAACAGCCCGUCGCUCCAGAUGGCGGCUGGCUCCAGCCUGGCGAGCAGGUUCACGGGGGACUGGGGGGCCGCAGCAGGUGGAGGACCCCCGCCCGCCUCGUCAGGGCAGGGAGGCCCCGCCCGCCCGCCCGCCCGGCUGCCUAGAGGCAGCACGCCAGCCAGGAGUGGGAGUUCAACCCAUUCCUCAGAGGGGAGAAACCGAGGCCCUGAGGGGGCCAGGGACGGUCCCAGCUUGGUGGUGGACAGCAACGUGGGGAUGGGGCUCCUGGGUCUGCUCGGCUCUGAGUCCAGCGCACAGUGGGGCUGCAGUGAAGACCCAAGUGAGGAAACAGGGAAGAAGAGAGGGAAGGAGGGAGGCAUUCUGGCCCCCUGGGCUCUGACUUUUAGUCCCUGAGGGAAUCAAUUGUUUCUGCUUUCUGAGCCCCAUUUCUGUGAAAUGGGGAUGGCCAGAGGGCUGACCUUGGCAAUUGCUGGAACAGGGACCUGGCUCCUGUGGACCUCCGGGGCAGUAUGGGCUGUGUAUGUUGCAGGCGCUCCGUUCUGUCUGUCUCUCACCCUCAGCCUCCUUCAGUUCCUGCUUCUCCCCCCACCACACUCCCACCAGGAAGCAUGGUGGCCUCCUCCAGGAAGCCUCCCUGGCUUCGACUCAGACCUCUCCCUUUGUGCCAGGCUCUGUGCCCGUCCCGUAGCCCUCCCCAGCUCCAUGGCAUUUUACUGGUACCUGUGCUAUUUGCCGCUCUGGCAGGUGAGGAAAUCGAGAGUCAGGAGGUAGCUAUGCUGGGGUUCCCCAGCCCUUGUCCCUGCAGGUGAAGAAAUGGGGGUCGUGGGGCAGCAGGGCACAGUGAGGGGCUUACCGCCAAGAAAAGGCAGAACUGAGUGUUCUGGAGGCUUCACCAGGCCCAAAGUCAGGAAGCCUGGCCGCUUCCUGCCACCUGUUGGCACAGGAGAUGAGGACCCAGGCCUGCAGGCCCCAGGUGGGUCCUGGGUCAUGCUCCCCAAAGAAAGGAGUGUGUGUGGAGCCCUGGCCUGAUGGUCUGCCCCCACCACCGCCUGGAGCCCAGGCUGGCCCCGGAUGUCCCUCGGGUGGCUGGGCAGGAUCCUUGUCCGCUAAGUGGGGACACAGCUCCUGGAGGGCCGAGGCCCCCAGUUUUCCCCCAUCUUAAUCCUGGUAUCCAGCGCAGAACACCCCGAGUACAGCUUUGUUGGAUGAGUGACAGAGGAGACAGAAGAUCCAUCACAUAUAAACCAGGCCAGGCACAAUCCUCAGUAAUUAACUUAGGGUAGCUUCUUUUUUCAUUUAAUUUUUGGCCUGUGCCACACAGCAUGUGGGAUCUUAGUUCCCCACCCAGGGGGAACUGCAAUGGAAGCAGAGAAUCCUAACCCCUGGGCUGCCGGGAAUCGCCCAGGGUAACUUCUUUAACAGUCUGGGGGAGGCACUCUUAUAAUUUCCAUUUUACAGAGGAGGCUCAGAGAGGUGGAGUACCUUGCCCAAGUGCACACAGCUAGAGCUGGACUUUGCACCCUGGCCUUUUAGGGCCAACGCACAUGCUCUCAACCACCUGUUCCCCCUCCCAGGGCAGCAGUGAGCCCGAAAUGAGUUCGCUGGGCACCAGGCACAUAGUAGGUGCUUUCCCACAGCCCCGCCCCACUCUCCAUCAUCAGCUGAUGCCUGGAUUCAGAUUUCGGCCCGGCCUGGAGGUCAGUGGCCUGUUCUGCCUCGUGCUGGAGGAAUGUUCGCGGUGGCCUCGGCCCGGGUCCGAGAAGAAAGGCGGCCUUGUGGGCGAAAGGCAAGUAUUUUCUAGAUGAUGAGCUCUUAGAAGAAUCCUAGAGGAGUCCUAUUUUCUCUUCUGAGAGUCAUGCUCAUCUGCCGUCCCUGAAGACUGUUUCCUUAUGUCUGCCCACCGGCAAUGGUGCUAACUAGGAACCCGGGACCUGGAGCCAGUCAGCUCUUCUGUGGGGGGAUCAGGGAAUAGCUUCACAAGGAGUGUCUGGUGAAAAACCAAGCCAAAACCUCCCUUUCUGGGUUUUGUUUCUCUUCGAAUACAAAAGAGAAACACAUUCUUUUCAGAAACCUCAGAAAAUAAAGAAAAUUUAGGAGGAAAAAAGUUAGAAAAAUAAAACCUGCUUCCCCACCCCCACCCAGCCAGCCACCAGGGGCCUGGAUACAGACCAGGGUUUGGGCCCUGGGUUGAGCUGGCUUCCUCUCCAUCCCCACGCCCGACUGGCUGUGUGACCUCAGGCAAGUCAGGCAGCCUCUCUGGGCCUUGUGUCCUCAUCGGUAACUGGGGCUCCGAGGGGUGCCAGUCUUGAGAAUCAAAUGCGAUCACGAGGGUAAACACAAAACGCUUCGUAAGCAGAGGUUGCGGCAAGUUUCCAGGACUUUUUGGGAUCUCAGUUCUCCGACCAGGGAUGGAACCCACGUUCCCCGCAGUGGAAGGGCAGAGUCCUAACCGCUGGACCACCAGGGAAGUCCCCACCCCAUUGGGCCCACAGCCCAGUGACACCCAGAACCCACGAGUCCAGACCCAGCUCCACGCCCACCCACUCAGAUCCCACAGCUGCGUGCUCCCUGCUCCUGCUUCCAGCUAGACCCCGAACCGACGGCUGCUCCCCGACACCCAGCAGCAGCCCCUCUUCACGGGUGUCCUCACUCCCUGACUAUCUCUGCUCGCAGGCUGACAGGGCGAUCUGCCCAGCACCCCUGAGGUACACGCAGUCACGUCUUGGGACGUUUUGGUUGUCACAACUGACAGUGGGUGGCGGCCAGGGUGCGGCCAAGCUGCCCUCUCGCGCCCGGGACGGCCCCGUGGCAAAGAACAGUCCGACCCCAACAUUUAAUAGCUGAGGAUGAAGACCUUGUGUGAGCUCCAAGUCAUGCCUGUUCUCUGCGCUCACCUUCCACGGCUUGCUCCCAGCUCAGCCGGAGAACAGCCAACGUCCUCAGGGCGGCAGGAGAGGCCCGAGGGGCUCCGUGGCCACUCCGCCCUCCAGCCCUCCAGCCCUCCACUGAAGCCACACCAGCUCCUCCCUCUUCCUCACAUCAAGAAGGCUGAGGACUGAGGAAUUGAUGCUUUUGAACUGUGAUGCUGGAGAAGACUCUUGAGAGUCCCUGAGACAGCAAAGAGAUCAAACCAGUCAAUCCUAAAGGAAAUCAACCCUGAAUCUUUAUUGGGAGGAUUGGUGCUAAAGCUGAAACUCCGAUACUUUGGCCACCUAAUGCAAAGAGCUGACUCGUUGAAAAGACCCUGAUGCUGGGAAAGAUUGAGGGCAGGAGGAGAAGGGGAUGACAGAGGAUGAGAUGGUUGGAUGGCAUCACUGACUAAAUGGACAUGAGUUUGAGUAAACUCCAGGAGAUGGUGAAGGACAGGGAAGCCUGGCGUGUUGCAGUUCACGGAGUCGCAAAUAGUCAGACACGACUUAGCAACUGAACAACGACCACUCAACCUCCCAAGUUUGUGAUGUCUGGGCAGCGGCUGUGGACAGAAGACCUGGAAGCUGAUAAUUUGCCACUGGAGUGGAGACCCAGGAGGAAAUCCCUGAAGCCGUGGGCUGGAAUCUCCCAUAACCCAGCAUCCGUGGUUGCACCAAGUGACCCCCUCACCAGGGAAAGCAGCGAAGAUGGAGGGGACCCCAAAGACCACUGCCAGCAUUUAUGGGGCACCAACUGUAUGCUCCACUCUAGACUAGGCGACGUAGAGAUUGUACUGCAGUGAAUUCCUGGGAGCCACAGGCUGUCACUUAACCAUCUCACGGUCCCCAGGGUAGGCAGGGUGAACUGGCCAUCCAUGUAUUCAAACAUUAUGAAGCACCUACCAUGUACCACUGACUGUGCUGACUGCAUCGACCUGCCAACAAAGAUAACUCCCAGAGUGUGGAUGCAGAGAAAGUCACUGCGUUUUUCUAUCAGUGCUUUCAAUGAUGAUUACUUGUUUACAGAAAGCAUUCUUUUUGUAAAUAAAUAGACUUGGAGAAUUCCCAAGUUCAAAAAAUACAACCCUAUCAUCUUCGAAUGUCAGGAGGAAGUGUAGGGGGCCUUGGGAGCCCCAAGGGGGCGCCUCUGGGAUCAAGGAGCCUCCCAGGAGAGGGUGAGUCCUGAGCACAGGCCCCGGGUCUUGUGGGCGGGGACUCAGAUCGGGGAGGAGGGCCACCGCCCAGGCCUACUCCAAGGCUCCUCCUCUGGUUGUGGGUGUCCCGAGUCCACGUUCGCAGGUGGAGUUUAUGAGAGCCUUUCUUCUGUAAUUGGCCGUUUCUGUCUCUCCGCCGCCCCGCCCCCCCUGCCUCGUCCGCUACUCUGUCCCCAGGGCCUGGAGCGCACAGUAGGUGCUUGCAGUGAGCUGAAUGGUGUCCCUCCCCCAAGUCGUGUCCGCCGGAAGCUCAGAAUGCGGCCUUAUUUGGACAUGGGAUGUUUGCAGAUGGCAUUAGUCAGGGAUCGUAAGAUGAGAUCACUACUGGACUGGGGGGAACCCUAAAGUCAACAGCUGGUGUCCUUAUGAGUAAAGGACACAGACGCACACAGGCCACGUGGAGAGGGAGGCAGAGACUGGAGGGCGGCGUCUUCCAGCCAGGCAACACCAGGAGCCCAGAGGGGCUGGAACAGCCAGGAGGAUUCUCUCCUGGAGCCUUCAGAGGGGACAAGGCCCUGCUGACACCUUGAUUUCGGAAUUCUCCAGAACUGUAGGAGGGUGAAUGUCUCUCUUUUUGUUUUUGAAAUGUGUAUUUAUUUAUGGCUGCGCUGGGUCUUCCUGCUGCACGCAGGCUUUCUCCAGUUGCAGGGAGCUGGGGCUGCUCUUCGUUGCCGAGUGUGGACUUCAGUAGCUGUGGCACGCGGGCUUAGUGCUUCCGCGGCACGCACGAUCUUCCUGGGUCGGGGAUUGAACCUGUGUCCUCUGCACUGGCAGGUGGAUUCUUAUCCACGGCACCGCCGGGGAAAUCAGAGAAUAAAUUCCUCCUGUUUCAAGCCACCAGGUUUGUAGCAGUCUGUUAGGGCAGCCACAGAGAAGACACACAGAUUCCUCAAUGCAUGCAGGUUCCUCGCAUGGAUGAUCA